rnacentral:snRNA from 1 species
AUUUUAUCGCGAAAUUAAUAUAAAAAAAAAAAAAGAUCAAGUGUAGUAUCUGUUCUUCUCAGUUUAAUACCUGGGACGGAAACGAUUCGUUUCCUCUAUGUAUUAAUCGGAUUUUUGAACUUGGAGUAUGGGGUGCUGGAGCUUGCUCCACCCUGCUCACGGGUUGUCCUGGUAUUGCAGUACCUCCAGGUUCGGCUCACGUUUC